AUCCAGCCCUGUGCUGCAAACCAGCACAAAUCCUGGGGCAUCUGUUUGCUGGGACCAGAUAAACACAGAGGCAAACUAGACAAGCCCUGUCGUCAGUAAAUGGUUUCAGUCUGACAUGAGUCAGGCACUUGGCACGUUUGUGAUUUGAAAAUCAUUAGCCGUAGUGAGCUGGAAAUGUCUCGAGGAUACUUCUGCGUCAUCCUGUGAUGAACUAGCAAAGUGGAAUGCAGCACCCCAUGGUGUAGAACCUACCGUUUACACAUGAUGACGGAGUUACUUCUUUGGUUUAAGUGCUGCUGCCUUCUGCUUUCAAUGCUGAAGAUCCCAGGUCCCAUCCCUUCAACACUGGAUCUAUAUGAUCACUGCCCUCUGGAGGCUGAAACCGGAACAGCAAAUGCACCAGAAUGAAAACAAGGGAUGGAACAAAAGGCCAGUCCAGAAUUUAUUCAUCUGAAUUUUAGCGUUUGUUUGUAAGUAACAGUUGAAAUAAACACAAAUACAGGUAUCUGCUGGGUUCCAGAAUGAUUUCACUUUAAAUGUUGCCAUAGUGCGGUACUGUAACUGAGCAGAAAAUAACCUGACUCCUAGGAAUACAGCUGUGCUCUUAGCACAGAUUUCUUCCCUGCUGAAUAUUCUCUAAUCCAGUUAUAAGUGAGGAUCCUGGCACUUCCAUUGGGAUGCAACUGCACUUGAAAAAUGGCACUAAAUGGACCGCAAUUCCUGUGUGUCUAGCUUUCUUCAGAAUAUGAA